GACCAAAGCUCAGGCGUCGUGGGACGGGCUGUCGUGGUAUUAGCUUGUUGGCGGGGUAACGGCCCACCAAGGCUAUGAUGCCUACCGGGCGUGCGAGCGUGGCCCGGCACACUGGGACUGAGACACUGCCCAGACUCCUACGGGAGGCUGCAGUCGAGAAUCUUCGGCAAUGGGCGCAAGCCUGACCGAGCGACGCCGCGUGGAGGACGAAGGCCUUCGGGUUGUAAACUCCUGUCGAGGGGGAAGAAGGGCUCUUAAAAGCCUUGACUGAUCCCUGGAGGAAGCACGGGCUAAGUUCGUGCCAGCAGCCGCGGUAAGACGAACCGUGCGAACGUUAUUCGGAAUCACUGGGCUUAAAGCGCGUGUAGGUGGAUGGGAACGUCGGUCGUUGAAAUCCCCCGGCUUAACCGGGGAAGUGGCGCCGAUACGCCCCGUCUUGAGGAACGUAGGGGGAGCUGGAACUUCCGGUGGAGCGGUGGAAUGCGUUGAGAUCGGAAGGAACGCCCGUGGCGAAAGUGAGCUCCCUGGACGUUUUUCUGACACUGAGACGCGAAAGCCAGGGGAGCGAACGGGAUUAGAUACCCCGGUAGUCCUGGCCGUAAACGAUGGGCACUGGGUAGGGGGCUCGCCGAUGGGCUCCCUGCCGUAGGGGAACCGUGAAGUGCCCCGCCU
rnacentral:rRNA from 1 species